AUGUCGCUAACCAUGGGAGAGAGAGUGCACUGGCCGUCUCAUAAACACAUAGACGUGUACACAAAAGGAUUUGAUAAGGCAACUGAUUUAUGCAUCGGCUUGAGGGGCGCAUGGUUUCUGAAAUUCCGCUUGCUGCAGCAAUCGUCCUCCUCAAAGCGUGGACUACGCAGCGAGCGCCUGGAGUGCAACGCAGCUGCCGGUGCUAGUCGACGGCGGCAAUAUGCAGUAGCAAUCUACAGAGGGGUCAUCCUACUGUUCUGCAGCACACACGCUAAAAUUCGAAGAAACGGCACUGGCGUGCCUGACAUACAGAAAGAAAAACAUGGAUUAGGCAACUCUGAGCGGAGACAGCUGAUUCAUGUACAAAAACAAUCUAGGGUUGGAAGGAAUGCAACACUUUCAGGUCAGAUGUACUUACAUCGUAGUGGAUGCACUUGUAGAAAUGUUGCUCUGCCUGGGAGCCAGGGCUUGCGACGUUGGUCUCGACCUCGUCUGCAUGGCAUGAGAGGCAUCAACCAAUCCGCUGGGACGAGGAGAGAGGUUGAAGACGAAGCGGACAUGGCGGCAUAA
rnacentral:rRNA from 1 species